rnacentral:lncRNA from 1 species
AACUGUACAAGACAAUAAUUAAAGUCAACAUAAAAUAGACUAAAACUAAAAAGAUUACUCAAGCAGCUCGUGCAUGUAAUGAUCUUGACUAGAAUGAUCCUGUGGUAUUUAUCAUGCUCAAACUCUAGAAAAUUUAUCCAUACCUGGAAGGAAAGAAUAAGAUCAAAUAGAGUUAGUGACUCGAGACACUUUGCGAUACCACGACACCUCUUGUUGGACACAUGCAAGACACGAUUGGGCUAGUUUUUGAAAAUGAACCUACAUAGCCAAGAAUAGCUAUAAGUGAAAAAUCAACAAGGGUGAUUACUCAGAUAUGAAAAUACCUUACUAAUGAUUAUAUGGAUUCAACUCCCAAUACUCAUGGCCCAAAAAUUAAUUUGAAGAAAUGACCCAUUUUACAAAACGACCGAUAUGGCCAAAAGUGGCUAAAAAUACAAACUCAAAAGGACGGACCUUAAAGUAAUAUAACACCUAGUUGUGGACUUAAGAUCCUAAGAUAUGGGUAAUUGAACUACUUUUGCAAAAAUAACCCCAUUUUGCAAGAAUGGCCGAUGUGGCCAAAAGUGGCCAGAUUUGGCUAAGACCCCGCAAAGCCAAGAACCUAAGACUCACUAGGAAGACCAGACCCUUUCGUACGUAUCUCACCCCGGAAGACGAGAAUCAGGUAUGCGUAGUUAUGGAAGAUUGGACAUGAAAGAAAGCUUUGGGGAAAAUGCAACUAAUUUGGAAAAAUAAUAUUUUUUGUCUUUUUGAAAAUGAUGGAAAAUGUAAAAUCUUUUUGGAUUUCUUUUUGAAUUUUUGGACAAUGAUAGAAAAUGUAAAAUCUUUUUGGGAUUUUCUUUUUAUCCUUUUUUUUUUGAAUUUUUGGAAAGUAAUGAAAAAGUGUAAUCUUUUUUGAAUUUUUCAUUUUCUUUUCUUGUUUUUUUUUUCAUUUUUGGAAAAUGAUGGGGAAGUGUAAAAUCUUUUUGUAUUUUUGUCAUUUUCAUUUUUUGAUUUUUGGAAAACUAUGAAAAAAAUGUGAGUGGCUCAUACUUGCUUCAUUUUCACUCUUCUUUCCCAAACAGCGGUCCGCCAAAUGACUUUUUUACCCUUGAAGAUGCAACAUGUAUCACAUAGGGAUGAUUGAAUGUCUUUUAGGAUCACUGGCCCAUUUUGACAAAAUUUGGAUAGGCCUCCUACAAAAGGACACAGUAUUGGGACCGAGCCUACUAAGUGUAAAUGACAUGAUGCAAAUAAGAAUGAUCUAAAGGCCGACCUACAUUUAGGGUUCACUAGACAAGGCACUUUGGGGCGGCACGUGAUCAAUGACGGCUGCUCUAGCUGUCCGCCCACUCCACGCUCCCACGCCACCCCCUAAAGACACGGGUAACUCACAAAAAGGCUGUGUACGCUCAAACGUACUUCAGAAGACUUGUUGCAGAAAGAAAACUCGGGGUUAUGCAAAUGGUGACAAUUAUAAAACAGUAAAUACAUAAAGCAAAAAUUGUAAACAAAUAAGCAGCUAGCAAAUAACAAAAAGACAUAAACAAAACAAAAAAUAAAUAAAGAAAACCAAACACAUAAAAAACUCAACACAAUAUCCUAAAAUCCAACAAGAUUAAGUACUAGCUCGAACCUGCAAUUCUCCAACAGAGUCGCCAGAGCCGUUGCACCCCUUUUUUAACUGAAGAAUAUGUAUUCUAGCAUAAUUCCCUUCACACGGAUCGUACAUGAUAAUCAUAUUAAAAUAUCCAAACAUCACAUAUUAAAGGGAAUGCGCUCGCAUUCCCCAAAAGAAAACCCCAGGCAUUAUUAUUAUUUCUAAAGAAAUUAAAACUGGGCAUUUAUACGAAUAGCAAUCCUAGCAGAAUCCAAGAAAUUGUUAGGAAAAGGAGUCAUUAGAUGAAUUUGGUGCUUCAGAAAACUAAGACACAAAUAUCAUUUCAAACAGAUUGCCAAUUUAGGACAACAAUCUUUCUACUCCAGUUAAUUGUUUCAAAACCAAAACUGAACUUCAUUCACUGGUACUGAAGUCUCAAGCAAACGAAACUAGCAGAAAUGAUAGCUUAACAAAAAUUUCAGUGAAAUUUCCCAUGGAAUCGCCUGCAAAUCAUGCUUAAAUCCUUCAAACAAAUUAGAUAAGUUUAUGGAAAUCAAACCUUCAGGCAAUUAGCUCGAGAGGACAUAAGACACUUACCAAGAUAACAUUAGAACAAAAAUGAAUUUUCAAACAGAUUUCAGCAGAAAGACGACUCACAUAACCUCCCUUUUUAAUCUCGAUUCCAAUCUGACCUAUGAGACACUAGUCAAACUCGUAAAUGAAAUCACCACUAAUUCCUGAAUCUUAGAAAGAUUGAGCUAAACCAACAGUGAAAACAAUUUCGAAGAAAUUCCAGCACUCAUUUCAGGUGUAAACUGCCUGAAAUAAAAUCAACUUAAACCAACAUGAAUCAAAUUUUAGCAUUCAGUAACCAAAACAGAACCUCAAGUGAAUCAACCUGAUGCUAUCAUCAACAAGCAUAGAGGAACAGGAUAAAAACCUUAAUAUCCAGGGGGUAUGUUUUCGAGUUCUUUUAAACUUAAGAAUACAAAAAUCUUCACCAAGGAAAACAAACCGAAUAGAGGCAUAGGAAUCUGAAUUUUUACUACAUUGAACAGAAUUAGAUGAAACUGAGAUUCAGUUAUGUAUUAAGCAUUUUAAAACAUUGAUCCUCCUAUUUACAUAUAGCAAAACCAUGAGAUUAAAGCAAUGAGCGUUCAUGUUAAGUGCGAAACAGAACUUCGACACCACAUAUUCAAGUAUAAUCCCUUUUGAAACAACCCAUCAAUAACCUACAAGUUCGUGAAUUACCCAAAGAUCUCGAACCCAACGCCUAAGGCUCUUAUCAUACUUUCAAUCACAACACUAGUGAAAUGAAAAGGAAAGAAAGAAACAUGUUCGAGCCAAAAAUUUCUUUAAUAAUAGCAGGAGAAAUCAGUGAGUACAAUCUCUUGUGCGAAGAUCGAACACAAAAAUACAGCAACACGAACAAGCAGAGUUGGCGGACACGAACCAAAAACUCGAACGGCGAACUCGACCUCGGAUCAAUCGAUCUCCACGUUGAAACCAAAUGCACGAGAAGAAACUAAAAUAUUUUUGGGGAAUUUUCUGAUUUUUCGAAAUAGAACAAAGCUCGAUCGAAAAUCAAACUCGAAUUAUUUAUUUAUUUAUUUUGUAUUUUUGUUUUCUGGAAACCAAACCCAACAAAAUCUCAAUAAAACUAGAGAGAACCCUGAUUUUUCAUUCUCUUCUCCGUUUCCGAAAUUUCGGUCCAAAGAACCCCCAAAACUCUUUUGAUUUCACUCUUUUAUAGUUCGAAAUCGGACAAAUGGAGGGUCCACAUUGAUAUUCAUUCAAUCUAUGUCCCCCAUUCAUUCAAUUCAAACUUGGAGAGCAAGAAAACACAUAUAAAUGAUGAAACUUUGUAUGGAGUGAGUGACGUUGAAGAAGGAGAGGAGAGGAGGGGGGACCAAUGGGUUAACUCGCCGGGUUGGCGAGUUUUUCCGGCAAGUUUGGGGUAAGCGACGCGGUAGAGGUGGAGAUGGGGGUUGGGGUGCGGUUGAAGUUUGUCUUUAGGGUUAGGGAUUUGGGGAUGUGAGUGUAUAUUUGGUAUAGGGAAAAGGAUCUGGGCCGUUGAUUAAGGGAGUGAAUGGCUGAUUUAAUUUAAAAAGCUGAUGAAUUAUGGGUUGGAGGGUUAUUUAGGGCGGGUUUAGUGGGUUUGGACGGGUCUGGG